UCGAGAAUUUUUCUCAAUGGGGGAAACCCUGAAGGAGCGACGCCGCGUGGAGGAUGAAGGUCUUCGGAUUGUAAACUCCUGUCAUGAGGGAACAAACUGGCGCGUUUAACUGGCGCGUCAUUGAUAGUACCUCAAGAGGAAGAGACGGCUAACUCUGUGCCAGCAGCCGCGGUAAUACAGAGGUCUCAAGCGUUGUUCGGAUUCAUUGGGCGUAAAGGGUGCGUAGGCGGCGAGGCAAGUCAGGUGUGAAAUCCCGGAGCUUAACUCCGGAACUGCACUUGAUACUGCCUUGCUUGAGGACUGGAGAGGAGAUCGGAAUUCACGGUGUAGCAGUGAAAUGCGUAGAUAUCGUGAGGAAGGCCAGUGGCGAAGGCGGAUCUCUGGACAGUUCCUGACGCUGAGGCACGAAGGCCAGGGGAGCAAACGGGAUUAGAUACCCCCGUAGUCC
rnacentral:rRNA from 1 species